rnacentral:rRNA from 1 species
CCUACGGGAGGCAGCAGUGGGGAAUAUUGCACAAUGGGGGAAACCCUGAUGCAGCGACGCCGCGUGAAGGAAGAAGUAUUUCGGUAUGUAAACUUCUAUCAGCAGGGAAGAAAAUGACGGUACCUGACUAAGAAGCCCCGGCUAACUACGUGCCAGCAGCCGCGGUAAUACGUAGGGGGCAAGCGUUAUCCGGAUUUACUGGGUGGAAAGGGAGCGUAGGCGGUUUAGCAAGUCAGAAGUGAAAGCCCGGGGCUCAACUCCGGGACUGCUUUUGAAACUGUUGAACUAGAUGUCAGGAGAGGUAAGGGGAAUUCCUAGUGUAGCGGUGAAAUGCGUAGAUAUUAGGAGGAACACCAGUGGCGAAGGCGGCUUACUGGACUGUAAAUGACGCUGAGGCUCGAAAGCGUGGGGAGCAAACAGGAUUAGAUACCCGAGUAGUC